rnacentral:rRNA from 1 species
UACGUAGGGGGCGAGCGUUGUCCGGAGUUACUGGGCGUAAAGCGCACGCAGGCGGUGCUGUAAGUUUGGGGUGACAGCUCUCGGCUCAACCGAGAGAGCGUCUCGAAGACUGCAGGACUUGAGGGCCAGAGAGGGACACAGAAUUCCGGGUGGAGUGGUGAAAUGCGUAGAUAUCCGGAGGAAUACCAAAGGCGAAGGCAGUGUCCUGGCUGGUACCUGACGCUCAGGUGCGAAAGCUAGGGGAGCGAACGGG